UUAAUAUAAUGUCAAGAAUAUAAUACAUUAUCAAUAUAUUAUUUAUUGCAAUGAAUACUUAUCCAUGUUACAGGGGUUGGGAGGAAGGAGACACGUUCAGCCUCAAGGGCCAGAGAGAGCAUGAUGGUUUCUGGUGAGGGCAAGUAGCUGGAGGCGUGGGCAGGAGCAAGGGCUUCCCAGCCCCAUCAUGUCCCACUGGAGAUCUUGCCCGGACGAGACUAAAACUGACGGAUGGCUCCCACUGGCCAUUUGAGAGCACGUCCCCCGCCGGCCAAGCCCGGGGAAGAUUUAAUGUCUCUUCCACGCGACUCAACCAGCCUCACGAGCCGCAAAAAUCAUCUGGUACUGGUACUGGCUGGCAGCUUCCUGGCCCGAUGACGCUAACUGUUGGGGAUGGGACUCGGCCACCAGGCCCUGCAGUGCCCUCCCCAUCCCUGACCAUCCAGGAUGGCCCGACCGGGCGACCUGCAAGGAAAUGAAUUCCUGGCCGGAGGGAAACAACAAGAGGUUUCUAGCCAUCUAGAUUUCACAUGAACAACUCAAGAACUCGAGACUGGACAUGAGACUGGGCGUGAAAGCCCCUCCUGGGGUGCCAGGGAUUCGAACUUGCCUGUGAUGGACGUGGUCACCUGGACGGCUUCGCACAGGUGCGCUCUCGCACUGCCAGUUACACCUUCCCACUUAGAGGACUGUAUUACUCAGCACGACAGGCGGCUACCAGGGAAAGCGGUGGCAGGAAGGGAAGGUGACCCUUUCCUCACUAAGCGAAGGAAGAGCCCACAGGCCCUGGAGAUGCUCUCACAGGAAGGAACUACUGGGGGAAUGGGACCCGGUGACCACGCCAGUUACAGAAGGAACCAUUCCAGUGUGACACAGCAGAAGACACAAGAGGAUGGGUAAUACAGGACAAAGAAAACUGGGAGGAGGAGUUGGGGAAGUUGGGGAAGAGGUUUUUAGCUUCUGUAAAGUCAUUUCUUCAGCCACACCCAAUUAAAGGUGUCAUUAAUCCCCUAAAAUGGAGGCAUUUUAGCUUAUGCCACAUUGGAUGCUUCUGGAAGCUGAUUGGGUGGAUACCACAUUUGGAUGUUAUUGAUACAAUACAAAUUGUUUAGCUGACUGGAUCCAGUUCUCAUUCCACAUGGGGAGUUAGUCACUCUCAAUACAGCUUUUGAUGACCCCUAUACAAGUCAGGAUUAAAGAACCCACUAAAGCUCUGGGGGUGCACAGAACUGACACGGUCAAGAUUACAGUGUUCUGAGGGCAAAUUCCAGGUAAGUAGUCCCUUUUAUCAAAUGUAUCCUUGUAGCUCCCUGCAUAUGACACCUGUCACAAGAGCCAAUUUACCUCAGACCACUGGGGUGUCACACGUAGCUUACACUGGAAAAGGAAAAAUUCAGAGAUUUCUUUGAACUGGUUUGGGGCCAACUUUUAGAUGAGGACAGAAAUGAAACCGAGUUCACUUCAUCUGGUGUUAACAUGAACGUUAACGUGCCAAAUAUCUGAAUCACUGACUAAAAAUGAGAACAAAUUGGAGAACUAAAGGGUGUGACUGGGAGGA
rnacentral:lncRNA from 1 species